rnacentral:lncRNA from 1 species
AGAAACAAAAUACUGUCAUGCUCGCUAGCUGCUCGCUAGGCGAAGGAAGUAGCGAGCUGAUUCUCUAGCUGCUCGCUAGGCGAAGGCAGUAGCGAGCGUAGCAUGAUAGAACUUUAAUUCUGUUUCACAGGGCCACUCAUUUGGGCCCAAAACUUGUUAUUUUGUUUUAAGUCUGAAUAUAAGGAUCAAACUUACUCUCACUUGCACAAAAUCACCUCUGUC